GAUGAACGCUGGCGGCGUGCCUAAUACAUGCAAGUCGAGCGAACAGACGAGGAGCUUGCUCCUCUGACGUUAGCGGCGGACGGGUGAGUAACACGUGGAUAACCUACCUAUAAGACUGGGAUAACUUCGGGAAACCGGAGCUAAUACCGUAUAAUAUAUUGAACCGCAUGGUUCAAUAGUGAAAGACGGUUUUGCUGUCACUUAUAGAUGGAUCCGCGCCGCAUUAGCUAGUUGGUAAGGUAACUGCUUACCAAGGCAACGAUGCGUAGCCGACCUGAGAGGGUGAUCGGCCCAAAUGGAACUGAGACACGGUCCAGACUCCUACGGGAGGCAGCAGUAGGGAAUCUUCCGCAAUGGGCGAAAGCCUGACGGAGCAACGCAGCGUGAGUGAUGAAGGUCUUCGGAUCGUAAACCUCUGUUAUUAGGGAAGAACAAAUGUGUAAGUAACUAUGCACGUCUUGACGGUACCUAAUCAGAAAGCCCCGGCUAACUACGUG
rnacentral:rRNA from 1 species